UUUUUUGCUAGACAUCUGGAAUUCUUUAAGAAAACAACUCAGAUAAGUAGAAACUUUCUGUUUUCAGAAAAGUCACCAAGGUCAUAACAUGGGCUCUGUACCAUAGUGUUGGUUUUUUUUGUUUGGUUUUUGUUUUUUCCCUAUUAUCUCUAAUUGAAUGGUUUCUCUUCUUGUUUUAUGACCUCCAGCUUUUCCAAGGUCAAACAUAGGCAAACUCUGUCAACAUGGAAUUAGUGGAAGUGUGGCUGAAAGCUAGAGCUAGCUAGCACUCAUCCUACUACUUUUCUCGAAGAGUAGGAAAGAAGGAACAAUUCUAAAUGAGAAAAGAAGAGGUCUCUUGCCGUGGCCGCUUGGUUCUUCUAUCUACUUGGGCAUGAGCUAAGGCAACCGGGGGAGGCCAUGGAGCUGCUGAUAGCUGCCACUUACUGGAAGGGAGUGAGAACCAAAUCCAGGAGGCAAACUGAGGGUGCAAGAAUUUGUCUCAAAGCUUCCAAGGAAGUUUCAGCACAAGACAAAAGGCGAAAGUGCAAGUUUUGUUGCCCAUGUGGCAUAGAUGGUGUCACAAACCCUGCACUGACAAGAAAUGCAUGAAAUGGUCUGUAGUGCGGGAAAGAACAAAGGCUUUUAGGACAGUUCCUUAUAUUUGACAAUGAACUUAUCCAAGCCUUUAGUUCUUCUCAAAGUCCUUAUUUUGUACUUGCAUUAAAGGUGGUUGUUUGGUCUUUUAUUGAAAAAUCUGGUCCCAGAGUCAAAUCCCAGAUGUGAGCACUGUCUGUGUUUGAGAUUUCCCUUUCUCUUCUCUCCUAUGCAAGACCCAGGGAUUUGACAGUUGUCUGCCAGGAUGCAAUUAAGGAUGAAGUAAAUGAUUCCUCCUCAAGGCUUCUAAGCCUUUCACAGAAUCACAGAAUCACAGAAUCUCUAGGUUGGAAGAGACCUCAAGAUCAUCAAGUCCAACCUCUAACCUAACACUAACAGUCCCCACUAAACCAUAUCCCUAAGCUCUACAUCUAAACGUCUUUUAAAGACUUCCAGGGAUGGUGACUCCACCACUUCUCUGGGCAGCCUGUUCCAGUGCCUAACAACCCUUUCAGUAAAGAAGUUCUUCCUAACAUCUAACCUAAAACAUCCCUGGCGCAACUUAAGCCCAUUCCCCCUCAUCCUGUCACCAGGCACGUGGGAGAACAGGUCAACCC
rnacentral:lncRNA from 1 species